GACUCUUGGAAACCGAUAUCUCGGCUCUUGCAUUGAUGAACAACGUAGCGAAAUACGAUAUUUAGUGUGAAGUGUAGUAUCUCGUAACCUAUAGGUCAAAGAUUCGAGCCGUAUAAUCAGCCACUGACAGGGGCG
rfam:Nicotiana attenuata strain TT chromosome 7, whole genome shotgun sequence.